UUUCCCUACGGGGGGCAGCAGUGGGGAAUAUUGCACAAUGGGGGAAACCCUGAUGCAGCAACGCCGCGUGAGUGAAGAAGUAUUUCGGUAUGUAAAGCUCUAUCAGCAGGAACGAGACAAGACGGUACCUGACUAAGAAGCCCCGGCUAACUACGUGCCAGCAGCCGCGGUAAUACGUAGGGGGCAAGCGUUAUCCGGAAUCACUGGGUGUCAAGGGAGCGUAGACGGCUGUGCAAGCCUGAAGUGAAAGGCGGUGGCCCAACCACUGGACUGCUUUGGCAACUGUACGGCU
rnacentral:rRNA from 1 species